rnacentral:RNase_P_RNA from 1 species
GCAAGUCGAAGAGCAGCUAACGGUUUUUUGUAAACUGAGGAAACUCCAUCCAUCCUACAGAACUGUGGUGCCAUAAGGCACGCGCUGAGAAGCGUGACAAUGGAGCAGAAACGACACGUCUUUUGAUGAAUGACAAUGAAGCAAUGCUGAAGACAUCAAAAGGAUCGGUGAAACGGCCAUUCCACGGGAUGCAAGAGUAAAUACUACUGAUGAGUCCUGUACGAGGUAGAGGUAAUUCGCAUAGAUGAAUGCUGCUAAAACAGAAGGUGGGUUACUCUCGACAUGCCAUU